AUUUUCCUGACUACUGAAAUGCCCUCAAUGUACCACAUCCCAUUUGAUCUUGGAAACAAUGCAGGAUUAGUCCUGAUUAGUACUUAGAUGGGAGACCACCAACGAAUACUAGGAACUGUAAAAAC
rnacentral:rRNA from 1 species